rnacentral:rRNA from 1 species
AACUUUUGUUCUCUGGCUGGCGACCGGCGGACGGGUGCGUAACACGUAGCUACUUGCCCCACAGUGGGGGAUAACCAGGGGAAACCCGGGCUAAUACCGCAUACACCCGAGAGGGGAAAGCCGAAAGGCGCUGUGGGAUAGGGCUGCGGCGUAUCAGGUAGUUGGUGGGGUAACGGCCUACCAAGCCGAUGACGCGUAGCUGGUCUGAGAGGAUGAUCAGCCACACUGGAACUGAGACACGGUCCAGACUCCUACGGGAGGCAGCAGUGGGGAAUCUUGGGCAAUGGGGGAAACCCUGACCCAGCAACGCCGCGUGGAGGAAGACGCCCUUCGGGGUGUAAACUCCUUUUGCAGGGGAAGAGAGAGACGGUACCCUGCGAAUAAGCUCCGGCUAACUCCGUGCCAGCAGCCGCGGUAAUACGGGGGGAGCGAGCGUUACUCGGAAUCACUGGGCGUAAAGGGUGCGUAGGCGGCUUAGUAAGUUGGGAGUGAAAUCCCACGGCUCAACCGUGGAACUGCUUCCAAAACUGCUAAGCUAGAGUCCGGGAGAGGCCGAGGGAAUUCCUGGUGUAG